rnacentral:rRNA from 1 species
UGACGCUGGCGGCAGGCCUAACACAUGCAAGUCGAGCGGUAGAGAGAAGCUUGCUUCUCUUGAGAGCGGCGGACGGGUGAGUAAUGCCUAGGAAUCUGCCUGGUAGUGGGGGAUAACGUCCGGAAACGGACGCUAAUACCGCAUACGUCCUACGGGAGAAAGCAGGGGACCUUCGGGCCUUGCGCUAUCAGAUGAGCCUAGGUCGGAUUAGCUAGUUGGUGAGGUAAUGGCUCACCAAGGCGACGAUCCGUAACUGGUCUGAGAGGAUGAUCAGUCACACUGGAACUGAGACACGGUCCAGACUCCUACGGGAGGCAGCAGUGGGGAAUAUUGGACAAUGGGCGAAAGCCUGAUCCAGCCAUGCCGCGUGUGUGAAGAAGGUCUUCGGAUUGUAAAGCACUUUAAGUUGGGAGGAAGGGCAGUAAGCUAAUACCUUGCUGUUUUGACGUUACCGACAGAAUAAGCACCGGCUAACUCUGUGCCAGCAGCCGCGGUAAUACAGAGGGUGCAAGCGUUUAAUCGGAAUUACUGGGGCCUAAAAGCGCCGCGUA